rfam:Pseudogymnoascus pannorum VKM F-4520 (FW-2644) contig_4272, whole genome shotgun sequence.
UCCUCGUUCAAAGGAUCGCAGUCGAAGCACACAAACGGAGCAGACCUCGUGUCUCUCAGCUCAUCAUGGGCUAGUCAAUGCUUUGGGAGAAAGUCCCCGGACGACCUUUACCUCGUGUAAAGGAACGCGGAAACGCGCCGCCAUAGAAGCACUGCGGCUUCUUUCUCCUCUCCUACCUUUCUCAGGCCGACCUUCGUCGCUGCUUGUACUCGCUUUCUGCGCAUUUGAUUGCUGCUUCUGGGGGAUGGGGAGACCAUAUGGAUGAAGAUAUGAGUCCGAGCUCUCCUGAUCUCAGCUGCGGUAGAGCAUAUGCAACGACUGCGGGGAGGCGGGGAAGUACCUUCGGUCGGAGUUGGGGCUUAUGGGAGAGGGGAGGCUUUCGUCGAGAGUGAUAGUUAUGCGAUUGCUCCCUUGGCCUGCCUCACGGUUGGUUCGGGGGGGUAACUCGAUGGGGCUUAUUCUUGAGACGAGG